rnacentral:tRNA from 1 species
GGCAAUGUGGCUUAGUGGUAGAGCACUUGCCUAACAUGCAUGAAGACCUGGGUUCGAUUCCUCAGCACCA